CUCUUAUCAAGAGAGGUGGAGGGAUAGGCCCAAUGAAACCCAGCAACAGUCAGCAAUAGCUGAAAAUGUGCUAAUUCCUACAGUAUUUUCUGAGAGAUAAGAG
rnacentral:ncRNA from 2 species